UCCCGGUUAACCCGGGCAGUCUCAUUAGAGUUCCCACCAUUACGUGCUGGCAACUAAUGAUAAGGGUUGCGCUCGUUGCGGGACUUAACCCAACACCUCACGGCACGAGCUGACGACAGCCAUGCAGCACCUGUGCAAAGACCCCGAAGGGCGAUAACAUCUCUGCUAUCUUCCUUUGCAUGUCAAGCCUGGGUAAGGUUCUUCGCGUAGCAUCGAAUUAAACCACAUGCUCCACUGCUUGUGCGAGUCCCCGUCAAUUCUUUUGAGUUUCAGCCUUGCGACUGUACUCCCCAGGCGGUAUACUUAUCGCGUUGGCUUCGGCACAACCGGGGUUGAGUCCGGCUACACCAAGUAUACAUCGUUUAAGGCUAGGACUAC
rnacentral:misc_RNA from 1 species